rnacentral:rRNA from 1 species
AUUGAACGCUGGCGGCAGGCAUAACACAUGCAAGUCGAGCGAGCGGCGGACGGGUGAGUAAUGCCUGGGAAUUGCCCAGUCGAGGGGGAUAACAGUUGGAAACGACUGCUAAUAACGCAUAGGCUUGGAAUGCCCAGGUGGGAUUAGGUAGUUGGGGAGGGAAUGGCUCACCAAGGCGACGAUCCCUAGCUGGUCUGAGAGGAUGAUCAGACAGACUGGAACGUAGACACGGUCCAGACUCCUACGGGAGGGAGCAGUGGGGAAUAUUGCACAAGGGGUGAAACCCUGAUGCAGCCAUGCCGCGUGUGUGAAGAAGGCCUUCGGGUUGUAAAGCACUUUCAGCGAGGAGGCGUUACUCGCAGAAGAAGCACCGGCUAACUCCGUGCCAGCAGCCGCGGUAAUAC